CACGCCGUAAACGAUGGAUACUAGCUGUUGGGCGCAAGUUCAGUGGCUAAGCGAAAGUGAUAAGUAUCCCACCUGGGGAGUACGUUCGCAAGAAUGAAACUCAAAGGAAUUGACGGGGGCCCGCACAAGCGGUGGAGCAUGUGGUUUAAUUCGAUGAUACGCGAGGAACCUUACCAAGGCUUAAAUGUAGAUUGACCGGACUGGAAACAGUUUUUUCGCAAGACAAUUUACAAGGUGC
rnacentral:rRNA from 1 species